ensembl:lncRNA
AAGUCUUGUACCGUGAGCACCUCGGAUUAGGGAAAAUCACAUAGAAAAUCACUGAAAAUGCAUUAUGAAAGGUGGCUUCUGGAGGACGCACUCGAUUUUGAGUUUGACGGCAGAGGAUAUCGUUUUGAACCAGAAUUCACCCAAGAGGAGCUACGUGAGAUGGAGGCUAGGGCAACGUUGGCGCCUGAAGCUCCGGCUGAAGCGGUUCCCUAGGAUCACGGGCGGGUGGUGUGCCUGUGGGAAGUGCAGGCAGAUGCCGACGGAAGUCGAAAAUGCUAUGGUGGACCUUGAUUUUCUUCCCACCCAAGCAGGAGUUGCAACAAUCCAAGUUAUUGUACCCGCUGAAUACAUUGUCCCCCCCCACAUUGAACUUGAAGUUCAACAAAAUGUAAGUUUAUAACUGUAUCAGACAAUGACUACCACACCAUACAUUUUUAUAUUGUUAAGGAAAGCUGCCUCUUUUGUGAAGAGUUUGAGGAGUGUCUUUCUGCACCUACCAUCCAGUGUUGGGCAUAAUGUGUUACAAAAGUAGUGUGAUUACAGUUAUGUAUUGCUGUUUGCUGUAACGCAGUAAAACAGUAGCCUAGGCUGUUACUGGAAUUUGAUUUCCUAGAUGAGAUGACUGCAGAGAUGGAAAUCUCAGUUCUCACUCAGUCCUAACAUUUACCCCUUGGUUUUUACAAUUGAAUUGAACCAAUUAUAUGAAGGAGUCGUGGGUACUGCCUGGCCACCUUGCCACAAGGUCAGUGCGUUCACACCAAAAGAUGCAUUUGCUGCCCGAACGCGUUGACGCCAAGGUUUUGCGGCGCGGCAAAUCAAGUUUUGCAGCGCAGCAAAAGUUUUGCGGCGCAGCAAACGUUUUGACGCGCUGCAAACGUUUUGCUGCGCCGCAGUUUUGCAGUGCAGGAAGUUUCGCGGUGCUUUUGAAUUCAUUCACAACCGACAUUACGAGCAUUGCAUGUCUUUACCUGUUGUGGAAGAAGGAGAGACGUCGGAAUGCCCGUCGUUUAUGGGUUCAUGAGACCUUUCGGAGCCUGGAAGGCUGGUGCUGCCUGGCACCCAACUGGGUUUUGUUUGGGGUUGUUAUGCUAGCCCUUUAGCAUACUUAUACAUACACAUACUACUAUGGUUUAGUUUAACUGUAAACACAACUACACUACAGAAUGCUGAUUUGUGGGGUUUUUUGAGUUACUAAAUAAAUGUAACGGUAGUGAACUCUAGGUCACUCCAAGGGAGUAACACUGAUUGGCUGUUACGGC